GCUUGCAAUUAGUCUUAAUCCUGAAAUUUAUGCUAAAAUAACCUUUAAGCUGUAUACCUGGUCAACUGACAGGUUUCUGGACGCGGGUUCAACUCCCGCCGUCUCCACCAAUAGGGCAUUGGAUUUAUCUAAGUAGUGCUUUAUUGAUGGGGACGUAUUGGUUUCGACAGGGGCAAAUAGGAAGAUUGGCAGCCGGUAGGCGAUGACCGUAAAUCAAGCAAAUUCUAUAAAUGCAAAUGACGAAAGUUACGCAUUAGCCGCCUAAUAACAGGCCGCUAGGAGCAUGAUCCACUUGGCAACAGAACGGAUUAAAAGGCUGCUUCGGCAGCCUUUUUCU
rnacentral:tmRNA from 1 species